rnacentral:rRNA from 1 species
AUUGAACGCUGGCGGCAGGCCUAACACAUGCAAGUCGAGCGGAUGAAGGGAGCUUGCUCCUGGAUUCAGCGGCGGACGGGUGAGUAAUGCCUAGGAAUCUGCCUGGUAGUGGGGGAUAACGUCCGGGAACGGGCGCUAAUACCGCAUACGUCCUGAGGGAGAAAGUGGGGGAUCUUCGGACCUCACGCUAUCAGAUGAGCCUAGGUCGGAUUAGCUAGUUGGUGGGGUAAAGGCCUACCAAGGCGACGAUCCGUAACUGGUCUGAGAGGAUGAUCAGUCACACUGGAACUGAGACACGGUCCAGACUCCUACGGGAGGCAGCAGUGGGGAAUAUUGGACAAUGGGCGAAAGCCUGAUCCAGCCAUGCCGCGUGUGUGAAGAAGGUCUUCGGACUGUAAAGCACUUUAAGUUGGGAGGAAGGGCAGUAAGUUAAUACCUUGCUGUUUUGACGUUACCAACAGAAUAAGCACCGGCUAACUUCGUG